CUUGCACAGGCUGCCAACUGCUCAGAGCCACACCACUAUUCUUCUAGUCCAUUUUGACUGCCUAGGGAGCUCCCCAAGCUUGUUUACUCUGAAUUGGAGGUCCAAAAUGCAAGCUGCAAUGUUGCUUGAAUCCUCCCAAGUUAAUUGGUCUCUUUACAAUGCACGAAACUACAGCUGUACAUCCCCUUCUAAAUGUUUCUUCAAGUGUUCUAUGACAGCAAAAGAAAAGCUCACAAUGAUUCGGC
rnacentral:lncRNA from 1 species